CACAAGCGGUGGAUGAUGUGGAUUAAUUCGAUGCAACGACGAAAACCUUACCUACCCUUGACAUGUCAGGAAGUCCGCUGAGAGGUGGAUGUGCUACGAAAGAGAACCUGAACACAGGUGCUGCAUGGCUGUCGUCAGCUCGUGUCGUGAGAUGUUGGGUUAAGUCCCGCAACGAGCGCAACCCUUGUCAUUAAUUGCCAUCAUUCAGUUGGGCACUUUAAUGAGACUGCCGGUGACAAACCGGAGGAAGGUGGGGAUGACGUCAAGUCCUCAUGGCCCUUAUGGGUAGGGCUUCACACGUCAUACAAUGGUCGGUACAGAGGGUUGCCAACCCGCGAGGGGGAGCCAAUCCCACAAAGCCGAUCGUAGUCCGGAUCGCAGUCUGCAACUCGACUGCGUGAAGUCGGAAUCGCUAGUAAUCGUGGAUCAGCAUGUCACGGUGAAUACGUUCCCGGGUCUU
rnacentral:rRNA from 1 species